AUGCUUGUUGGUUUCCAUCGGAAGCCCCAUACCCUUGAUAACCACCCAUUCUGCCACUACCGCCUCCUCUUCCGUUUCACCUUCAUCUUCAAUUUACCAUCCAUCAUCUCUUCUACCCAUAUUACCGUAACCACCACACAGCAACUCCACCCACCUGCUCAUACCGGUACAACACCAUCAUCGUUCCGCCUAGCCUCCGUCUCAACACCAACCUUCAUCACCUCCGUCCUUACCCAUCCGCGCCGCCACCUUCGACCGACUCCUCCAACUCCCGCCGCAAAUAGAUCUGCACCGACAGCCCUCCGCCACCCGCAACCGUCUCCGCAUCGAAACUAUAGGUCGGUACCGUCCUUCAUGUUUGGUUCUUGA